AUUGGCGGGGGGAGUCGCGGGACGGGCUGCUGCCGAGACAGAAAGUUAAAAUGCAUGAGAAGAGUAAAAAACGCCCGGGUGGCGCUGAGAAGCAUCGGGAAAAAAAGCUGAAGUCUCUGGAGGUGGAGGCUGCUAAAUGUGCCAAACUGACGGACCUAUUUGGUGCCGGGUUCACCAGCCCAGCAGCAGCAGGUGCGCCGGGAGACGAGCGAGGAGGACUCGACAAUGAUGAGCGAGUGGAGGCAGACAUGGCAAGUAACGUUGGCAUGGGGCUGGCUAGGCUACAUUUUUGAGACAUGUCCAAAACAAAGUAGAAAACGUUUUUGAUUUUGUUUUAAUAUGCCGAAUUGUGAUAUUAUGGGUUAUUAUUGUUCAGAUGAUUCAGCUAAGCUAGCUAAGAGUUGCAACAGUAAACUUUCUGAGCUGUAAAUAGAGAUGAGAGUGCUUAUAUGUUGAUCCUUAAUGGUGUGAUCAUGUACACUAAAUGAUCAAUUAUUCUCCAUUACAGGUUGUUGUGAUAUAUUUGAGGAGUCGUUCUCCCUCUGUUUUAUAUGUGGACAUUUGGGACCACUGUUAGAAUUUGGUCGACCACUUGACAUGUGAGAGCCUGAGGAGUUGUUCCCCCUCUGUCCAUGUUCGAGGACUUGCCCUCUGUCUGCCUCCACUCUCUGCCUUCACUGAACCAAAGUUUGUCUGUUGAGUCUCCUCUAGUCUGGUUGACCACUUGACAUAUGAGAGCCUGAGGAGUUGUUUUCCAGACACAGGUAGAGCUGGCAGGGGCAUCCCCCUGGGCCUGCCCUUUUGGGCUGGGCUUCAGCUGCAGAUCUAAAGGCUGCUUCCAGGGGCAUGGGGCCCUCGGCCUUUGUUUUUCUUUGCUUCUGCACCUUACAACAUACAUCACACCUUAUUUUCACACAUCCAAACACCGUUAACACCACUGACGCGUAACAUAUUUUACACAUCCCACUACGUAGUUAGAGCUAUCUUGAUUUGGAGUUAAAUAAAUUUACUUUUGGCUUGA